rnacentral:rRNA from 1 species
GACGAACGCUGGCGGCGUGCCUAAUACAUGCAAGUAGGACGCAGUUUUGAACGGGUGAGUAACGAGUAGGUCACUACCUAUUAGAGGUGGAUAACUAUUGGAAACGAUAGCUAAUACCGCAUACUAGUUGAUGCACCUGCGUUUUAUUAGCUAGUAGGCAAGGUAAUGUACUACCUAGGCAAAGAUACAUAGCCGACCGGAGAGGAUGAGAGGACAAAAUGGGACUUAGACACGGCCCAGACUCAUACGGGAGGCAGCAGUAGGGAAUCUUCGGCAAUGGGGGGAACCAUAACCGAGCAACGCCGCGGGAGUGAAGAAGGUUUUCGGAUAGUAAAGCUCUGUUGUUAAGGAAGCGGUACUUAACCAGAAAGGGACGGCUAACUACGUGCCAGAAGACACGGUAAUUC